UGACGGUGAGAGACGACAGUCUGGGUAGCAAACGGGAUUAGAUACCCCGGUAGUCCAGACCGUAAAUGAUGUCCGCUAGGUGUUUCUCCGGUAAUUGUCUAUGUUUUUGUAUAGAUAGUUACCGGAGGAGUGCCGUAAGCUAACGCGUUAAGCGGACCGCCUGGGUAGUAUAGUCGCAAGACCGAAACUCAAAGGGAUAGGCGGGGGAACACACAAGCAGUGGAUUGUCUAGAUUAAUUGGAUAAUAAGCCAAAAAUCUUACCUGGACUUGACAUCCUCAAAAUUCUUUUGAAAGAUUGAAGUGCUCAGCUCUGCUGAGAAUUGAGUGGCAGGCGCUGCACGGUCGUCGUCAGCUCGUGCCGCAAGGUGUCCAGUUAAGUCCGGCAACGAGCGCAACCCUUGUCCUAUGUUAGAAUGUCAUAGGAGACUGCCUGGGUAACCAGGAGGAAGGAGAGGAUGACGUCAGAUCAUCAUGGCCCUUAUGUCCAGGGCUUCAUAGACAAUACAAUGGGUGGUACAAUGAGAAGCGAUACCGUGAGGUGGAGCAAAUCUCGCAAAACCAUCCUCAGUUCGGAUUGUAGUCUGGAACUCGACUGCAUGAAGCCGGAAUUGCUAGUAAUGGUGAAUCAGCAUGUCACCGUGAAUGUGUCCCUGUUCCUUGCACUCACCGCCCGUC
rnacentral:rRNA from 1 species